GAUGAACGCUAGCUACAGGCUUAACACAUGCAAGUCGAGGGGAAACGAUAGAGAAAGCUUGCUUUUUCUAGGCGUCGACCGGCGCACGGGUGAGUAACGCGUAUCCAACCUGCCCAUCACUUGGGGAUAACCUUGCGAAAGUAAGACUAAUACCCACUGACGUCCAUAGAAGACAUCUGAAAGGGAUUAAAGAUUUAUCGGUGAUGGAUGGGGAUGCGUCUGAUUAGCUUGUUGGCGGGGUAACGGCCCACCAAGGCGACGAUCAGUAGGGGUUCUGAGAGGAAGGUCCCCCACAUUGGAACUGAGACACGGUCCAAACUCCUACGGGAGGCAGCAGUGAGGAAUAUUGGUCAAUGGGCGAGAGCCUGAACCAGCCAAGUAGCGUGCAGGAUGACGGCCCUAUGGGUUGUAAACUGCUUUUAUAAGGGAAUAAAGUGAGCCUCGUGAGGCUUUUUGCAUGUACCUUACGAAUAAGGACCGGCUAAUUCCGUGCCAGCCGCCGCGGUAA
rnacentral:rRNA from 1 species